rnacentral:tRNA from 1 species
GGGCGCUUAGCUCAGUUGGUUAGAGCGUCUCGUUUACACCGAGAAGGUCGGGGGUUCGAGUCCCUCAGCGCCCACAA